rnacentral:rRNA from 1 species
UAUACGACCGUACCGCAAACCGACACUGGUGCGCGAGAUGAGUAUUCUAAGGCGCUUGAGAGAACUCAGGAGAAGGAACUCGGCAAAUUGACACCGUAACUUCGGAAGAAGGUGUGCCCUAUUAGUGUGUAGUGAACAACGAAGCAUGAAUGGGUUGCAAAAAAUCGGUGGCUGCGACUGUUUAUUAAAAACACAGCACUCCGCAAACACGAAAGUGGACGUAUAGGGUGUGACGCCUGCCCGGUGCUGGAAGAUUAAAUGAUGGGGUGCAAGCUCUUGAUUGAAGUCCCAGUAAACGGCGGCCGUAACAAUAACGGUCCUAAGGUAGCGAAAUUCCUUGUCGGGUAAGUUCCGACCUGCACGAAUGGCGUAACGAUGGCCACACUGUCUCCUCCUGAGACUCAGCGAAGUUGAAAUGUUUGUGAUGAUGCAAUCUCCCCGCGGAAAGACGGAAAGACCCCAUGAACCUUUACUGUAGCUUUGUAUUGGACUUUGAACAGAUCUGUGUAGGAUAGGUGGGGGGCUUUGAAGCAGGGUCGCUAGAUCUUGUGGAGCCAACGUUGAAAUACCACCCUGGUGUGUUUGAGGUUCUAACCUAGGUCCAUUAUCUGGAUCGGGGACAGUGCAUGGUAGGCAGUUUGACUGGGGCGGUCUCCUCCCAAAGCGUAACGGAGGAGUUCGAAGGUACGCUAGUUACGGUCGGACAUCGUGACGAUAGUGCAAUGGCAUAAGCGUGCUUAACUGCGAGACUGACAAGUCGAGCAGAUGCGAAAGCAGGACAUAGUGAUCCGGUGGUUCUGUAUGGAAGGGCCAUCGCUCAACGGAUAAAAGGUACUCUGGGGAUAACAGGCUGAUACCGCCCAAGAGUUCAUAUCGACGGCGGUGUUUGGCACCUCGAUGUCGGCUCAUCUCAUCCUGGGGCUGUAGCCGGUCCCAAGGGUAUGGCUGUUCGCCAUUUAAAGAGGUACGUGAGCUGGGUUUAAAACGUCGUGAGACAGUUUGGUCCCUAUCUUCCGUGGGCGCUGCAGAUUUGAGGAAGCCUGCUCCUAGUACGAGAGGACCGGAGUGGACACACCUCUGGUGUAUCGGUUGUCACGCCAGUGGCAUUGCCGAGUAGCUAAGUGUGGAAGAGAUAACCGCUGAAAGCAUCUAAGCGGGAAACUCGUUUCAAGAUGAGAUCUGCCGGGGCCUUGAGCCCCCUAAAGAGUCGUUCAAGACCAGGACGUUGAUAGGUCAGGUGUGGAAGUG